UACGUAGGGGGCGAGCGUUGUCCGGAUUUAUUGGGCGUAAAGAGCGUGUAGGCGGCCAGGUAGGUCUGCUGUGAAAACUCGAGGCUCAACCUCGAGACGUCGGCGGAAACCAUCUGGCUAGAGUCCGGAAGAGGAGAGCGGAAUUCCUGGUGUAGCGGUGAAAUGCGCAGAUAUCAGGAAGAACACCCGUGGCGAAGGCGGCUCUCUGGGACGGUACUGACGCUGAGACGCGAAAGCGUGGGGAGCGAACAGG
rnacentral:rRNA from 1 species